rnacentral:rRNA from 1 species
GGCUUUUUGGGAGUGAAAAAAAGUCUGGCCUGCUCACUGAUGAGUUUAAGAGCCGCGGUAUUUUGACUGUGCGAAGGUAGCAUAAUCAUUAGUCUUUUAAUUGAGGACUGGAAUGAAAGGUUUGAUGGAUAAAAACUGUUUAGUAUUAAAUUUUGAAAUUAGAUUUAUUGUAAAAAUGCAAUAUGGGAAGUAUGGGACGAUAAGACCCUAUCGAGCUUUAUUAAAUAUAUUUAAUGAUGAAAUUUAUUUUCUCUUAUUAGAUGAGGUUUAAUUUUACUGGGGCGGUAAACAAAAAAGCUUUGUUUUGUUAAAAACUAACGGGUUGGAUAAUUUGGUCUAUUUUGAUAAAUUUGGAAAAGCUACCGUAGGGAUAACAGUGUAAUUUAUUUGGAAAGGUCAUAUUGAUAAAUAAGAUUACUACCUCGAUGUUGAAUUAAAAUAACUUUAAGGUGAAGGAGCUUUAAAAGUGAGUCUGUUCGACUUUUGAAAUUUUACA